rnacentral:tRNA from 1 species
GGGAAUGGUCGGGAUAGCUCAG